AGAGUUUGAUCCUGGCUCAGGAUGAACGCUGGCGGCAUGCCUAAUACAUGCAAGUCGAACGAAGUCUUCAGGAAGCUUGCUUCCAAAAAGACUUAGUGGCGAACGGGUGAGUAACACGUAGGUAACCUGCCCAUGUGUCCGGGAUAACUGCUGGAAACGGUAGCUAAAACCGGAUAGGUAUACGGAGCGCAUGCUCUGUAUAUUAAAGCGCCCAUCAAGGCGUGAACAUGGAUGGACCUGCGGCGCAUUAGCUAGUUGGUGAGGUAACGGCCCACCAAGGCGAUGAUGCGUAGCCGGCCUGAGAGGGUAAACGGCCACAUUGGGACUGAGACACGGCCCAAACUCCUACGGGAGGCAGCAGUAGGGAAUUUUCGUCAAUGGGGGAAACCCUGAACGAGCAAUGCCGCGUGAGUGAAGAAGGUCUUCGGAUCGUAAAGCUCUGUUGUAAGUGAAGAACGGCUCAUAGAGGAAAUGCUAUGGGAGUGACGGUAGCUUACCAGAAAGCCACGGCUAACUACGUGCCAGCAGCCGCGGUAAUACGUAGGUGGCAAGCGUUAUCCGGAAUCAUUGGGCGUAAAGGGUGCGUAGGUGGCGUACUAAGUCUGUAGUAAAAGGCAAUGGCUCAACCAUUGUAAGCUAUGGAAACUGGUAUGCUGGAGUGCAGAAGAGGGCGAUGGAAUUCCAUGUGUAGCGGUAAAAUGCGUAGAUAUAUGGAGGAACACCAGUGGCGAAGGCGGUCGCCUGGUCUGUAACUGACACUGAGGCACGAAAGCGUGGGGAGCAAAUAGGAUUAGAUACCCUAGUAGUCCACGCCGUAAACGAUGAGAACUAAGUGUUGGAGGAAUUCAGUGCUGCAGUUAACGCAAUAAGUUCUCCGCCUGGGGAGUAUGCACGCAAGUGUGAAACUCAAAGGAAUUGACGGGGGCCCGCACAAGCGGUGGAGUAUGUGGUUUAA
rnacentral:rRNA from 1 species